GUCAACUUCCCCACGAGAGUGGCGCCUUUUAUACAUCAAAUACUAUUGAUAAUAGCAAAAGCCAUUAUAAGAAUGCUUGGCCUCCAAUUUUGUAUGCUUUAUCAUUAUGGUUAAAUGCUGAGGAAUUUAAACAUUAAAAUACUAACAUACCUAAAGAAUUGCAAGAUAAAUUUUACUUAAUAUUUGGAAUUUGUACUGAAGCAAUAUGUAAUCAACAGACUUUGGAAAAUUUAGAAAAUUUUAUUACUUGUCUUAAAUCAUUAUAUACAAUAUUAGAUUCUUCCUUAGCAGGACGAAUGAUGAUGUAAAAUUGUAUUUAAGCAGUGGAAACACUAAAUAUUAUGCACAAAUUACUUUUAACGAAUGAUGGUAUAGAAGUACAGCAAACUAUAUAAUGAAUAUUGUGAAACAAAUAGUAAAAGCUGCUCAAGAAGAUUUAAAAAUAAAAAAUUCAAGUACUUCUAAUGUGCCAUCAAUCGAAAUCCAGAAAUUACUAUAAAUUAAUUCGGAGUACCUGCAAUGCAUUACACUGAACCGGCCAAUUUUCUGCACU